rnacentral:rRNA from 1 species
GUAGGGAAUAUUGGGCAAUGGAUGCAAGUCUGACCCAGCCAUCCCGCGUGCCGGAAGAAGGCCCUCAGGGUUAUAAACGGCUUUUGACGGUGAAGAAUCGACAGGAUGCGUCCUGUUUUGACGGUAGCCGUUGAAUAAGCACCGGCUAACUCCGUGCCAGCAGCCGCGGUAAUACGGAGGGUGCGAGCGGUGUCCGGAUUUAUUGGGUUUAAAGGGUGCGUAGGCUGGAAGGUCAGUCAGCGGUGAAAAGCUGUCGCUUAACGAUAGUCUUGCCGCAGAUACUUCCGUUCUUGGAUGAGGAGGAGGCCACUGGAACGGAUGGUGUAGCGGUGAAAUGCAUAGAUAUCAUCCAGAACACCGAUUGCGAAGGCAGGUGGCUGUACCUUAAUCGACGCUGAUGCACGAAAGCAUGGGGAGCAAACAGGAUUAGAUACCCGAGUAGUCC